UAGGGAAUAUUAGUAAUGGGUGAAAGCCUGAACUAGCAACGCCGCGUGUGCGAAGAAGGCCUUCGGGUUGUAAAGCACUUUUUGAGAGGAUGAGGAAGGACGGUACUCUCAGAAUAAGUCUCGGCUAACUACGUGCCAGCAGCCGCGGUAACACGUAGGAGGCGAACGUUAUCCGGAUUUACUGGGCGUAAAGCGCGUGUAGGUGGUUUGGUAAGUAGGGCGUGAAAGCUCCUGGCUCAACUGGGAGAGGCCGUUCUAAACUGCCGAACUAGAGGAUGGUAGAGGGAGGUGGAAUUCCGGGUGUAGCGGUGGAAUGCGCAGAUAUCCGGAGGAACACCAGUGGCGAAAGCGGCCUCCUGGACCACUCCUAACACUCAGACGCGAAAGCUAGGGUAGCAAACGG
rnacentral:rRNA from 1 species